UUUCUAUGCGCCAGACGGCGCACUAAAACAGCAGAACAGAGGUGCAGUUUUUUUCUGAGGUUGGAGGCAGGAGGGGAGAAAAAAAUCUUCACAAAGGUCCUCUCUGCACGAAGAGUCACCCGGCAGAUAACUAAUUUCCUGCAGGCCUGUUCAGAACCCUCAGCUCAAAAUGAGGGGAAUGCGCACAGCCGGCGGUGUUGAAGAGCACCUGCUAUACGGGAGAAGCGUCCUUUGUCCCAAAUAUGACAAAUCCACGUCGGAUCCAACCCCCAAAAUCCUUUGUUUGGCUUCUUCCUGCCGUCGGUGCGUCUAUGCUGCUCCGGCGCACCUCGUGUCCAUUUGAUGCAGCCAAAAAAUUAAAAAGAAAAAAGAAAGAAAGAAACCAAAAGGCCCUUGGUGCGGACUCCGGAGGCUGCAGCAGCAGCCGACGCGUCGUGCCGCACUGUGCGCAAACUGGCCGCGUGUCUCUCCUCCAAGCGAGACGAAGCAAAGAGAGAGCGAGCCUGUGCAAUUGAAAUUUCUUCCCUCGUCUCUCCCUCCGUUGGAGCUGCACGGCCUCCACAUCUUAAGCUGAAUGAAGGGGAGAGUCGUCCCUGUGCAUUACAAUGACACCCAGGCCCCAUUCAUUCAGUCACUGUCUAAUGGUCUUUGGACAGCAAAUGCACCCCCAUCGGGGGGUCACAGCUCCCUUAUUACACCUCCCCAAUCCCAACACGCAGCCUCCCACAAUAGCCCCAACAAAAGAGAAAGGAGAGUCGGCCCCAUGUGUGAAUCGCGGCUCCUGGACUUUGGAGGUGCACGUUAGAA